GGGCCUGUAGCUCAGUUGGGAGAGCGCUGCGUUCGCAUCGCAGAGGUCAAGGGUUCGACUCCCUCCGGGUCCACCA
rnacentral:tRNA from 1 species